rnacentral:rRNA from 1 species
CGUGCAGGCGGUUUUCUAAGUCGGACGUGAAAGCUCCUGGCCCAACUGAGAGAGGCCGUUCGAAACUAGGAGACUUGAGGAUGGUAGAGGCGAGUGGAAUUCCCGGUGUAGUGGUGAGAUGCGUAGAUAUCGGGAGGAACACCAGUGGCGAAGGCGGCUCGCUGGGCCAUUCCUGACGCUGAGACGCGAAAGCUAGGGGAGAGAACG